rnacentral:tRNA from 1 species
GCCACUUUAGCUCAGCCGGUAGAGCAGCUCACUCGUAAUGAGCAGGUCGUGGGUUCGAGUCCCAUGAGUGGCUCUA